GCCCGUUUAGCUCAGUGGUAGAGCGCGCCACUUGUACUCUUCAACGAGUAGAGAUGGUGAGGUCAGUUGUUCAAUCCAGCUAAUGGGCA